AAAGAAGACCACAGCGGUCAGAGCAAAGGGGGCAGGACGACGUCCACUCUUGCGCCUACAAAAACUUCCGUCUGCAUCGACGACACAACUUUCCAACAAGAAACUUGCCUUCGUUGUGCUUUCCAAAGACUCACUUGAAGAAUUUCAGUUUAAAAACAACGGGAGUUACACAGACCUCAUAUUUUCCUCGACGCUGGACGUGAAGGACAAGUGAACCACAUCGUUGACGGAACACUGAAGUUCGCUUUUGACCUCCAUUAGACGUUUAGCCUAAUAUGUUUGACGUUUUCAGAGGGACGGAAGCUGCCUUUUCAUCCUUAUAUGCAAAGUGCCCGAAAGCCCUUCUUUCCCACAACUUGUGUCGGCAGUGAAGUACUCAUGGUUUCUGCUGCGUGAGGAAAACAGUGGAAAGACCCAGGCUGGUUAGCCAUGUUACACGUGUGUAUCACUUGUUGACAAUUGAGUCAUUUAAAGUACGAUAUUCUUCAUGCUUUCACCACACUGGUUGGCAGUUUGGGCUACUGUAAACAUCCUUGACUGGAAGCUGGUGUUUGGGUCCGAGAGCUUUCAGUCGGAUGUUUGCAGCAGCCACCUGCUAGUACCAUCACAAGACAUUGAACACUUCUGUGGACUUGCUUCUGGGAAAUCUGGAGAUGUGAAAUGUGUUGUUUUAUGGGAAAUGUGGUGGGUGACCAAGCACUAGCCUACAUCCUUGGAAACUACCGUUUUUCCCGGGCUAUAGAGCACAUCAGGAUAUAAGCCGCACCCACUGAAUUUUAGGAGAAAUAAAUAUUUAACACGUGUUAGCCGCAUCGGACUGUAAUGUAAGCUGCAGAUAUAUACUAGUACGAAAGAUUGUGUCAAUGUCUAUUUAUGCAAUUGUUUUCGAACAGUGCCUGUCACAAGGUAGUAAAAUGGCUAUUCAAACAAAACAGAAGUCAUCGCCAUGGACCCACUAGCUGCGGAAGUUGGCUUUCCAAGCAGCUAAAGGGACUCAAUAAGUCCACGGUGACAUUUUGGUCGAUUUACGAAACUGAAGCAAUACAAACAUAAUGCCAUUGUAAGUUAGUAAUGCUAACAAAGACACUCGUAAAUUUGAUAGCAUAUUCGCUAAGGCUAGCAACGGUAGCUUGAUCCCAUUACAAAUACACAUACAAAUAUGUAUGAAAACACUUCUACAGACAUCACACAUGGGACGGUUUAGUAAGUAGGAACAGUUUUAAUGAAACUGUAAAACUCACUACUUUACUUGGAGAGAUGAAUGAACAAUUCAUAAGAGUGGAAACGCCAUGGACGAUUAGAAGAGAAAACAGCACUUGUAUUUACGGUUGAAAGCCCUGAACGGAAGGAAAUAAUGCAGAGAUUCACCCCAUAGCACUUGCAGUAAGUGAACUCGUUCAAAAAUGGCACCAUAGCACAAACCAUAAAACACAAUAUCAGUGUCUUUGCAUGCGUUUUAUGAAUUCUAUUUGCAUUAUGGUCAUCAGCAAAGAAAAAUCGAUGAAUUAUCAGCCCCGUUUUAUAAGCUGCAGGUUACAAAGCGUAGGAAAAAAGGAGCAGCUUAUAGUAAUGCGGUAACAGGCACAUUCAUAAUAACAUGCACUAUUUACCUGUUUAGUUCAUUUUAAGCAUAUGGCUGUGCAAUAAUUUCACAGACACAUCACAAUGUUGCCUUUUCCCUUCAACUACAACACUAUUAAUCCCUGAAGACUUCAUGAGAGACAAUGACUAGUUUGGGAAAAAUGAUGAUCAGUGUUAAGUACUAAACAAGACAUACAAAUUAUGAACAUAAUAAAACAAUCACUCAUUGUACAAUGGCUGCUUUGACUGGGAUGCCGAUUCAUGGGAUGUUCAUAUUUUGCCAUUUAGAUGAAUAAUUAAUCAUAAUCCUCACGCAGGUUAAAGAAAAGGUUGGAGUGGGGGCCGCGAACGUGUCUUUUCGUGUCUUUCUCACCAUCACCAGGUAUAAUUUGGAUGUCUGGAUUUACCAACUUCUUUGUUUAUGACAACAACUUCUACUAUUUAAGUAAGGGACAUCAUUUACAAUCUAGAUUAAUUAUUACUAACUGAGAAGCGAUGCAGCAGCUCACAAGCUCAAUAUAGCAGCAUAUGCUAGUUAGCUCUCUGUGUUCACGUCGCCACUAAAAGUAGUUCCUCCGCAUUAGCACUUAAAAUAAAAAAAUAUCACUUAUAGUUUUUGGAUGUUUUUAGAGGGCUUUAUAGGCGCAUCAGACACAAUAAUGUCGUGAGUUCCAUUACCUCUAUUGUGAUCUUACUUUUUCUAGCGUUUGUGAGUUAGAAUCCAUUAAAAAAAAAAGAAAAACUUGUGUUACAUAGGGGUUGGGAUUGAUAGGCAAAAUUCCCCCAAAAGUACAGUUCCCCUUUAAGAAACUUCUGACUUUAGCUCCAGACUUCUUCUGUUUGUUUAAUGUUAUCAUUACUGACACAAGUGGUGGAAAUGUGUAAUACAACGGAGGACUGUUGGCCCCAUACCAACAACAGCUGAGAAGCAUUUUGUCACGGCUCUCUAUGGAGCGCUCGUACACCAACAACGGGCCCCUGCCCUAUGGUUAAGAAUCACAGGUCUAGAUUUGUAUUGGAUAUGCCAUCCAUCCAUCCAUUGCCUACCGCUUAUUCCCUUUUGGGGUCACGGGGGGCUCUGGUGCCUAUCUUAGCUACAAUCGGGGGGAAGGCGGCAUACACCCUGGACAAGUCGCCUCCUCAUCACAAGGCCAACACAGAUAGACAGCCAACAUUCACACUCACAUUCACACACUAGGGCCAAUUUAGUGUUGCCAAUCAACCUAUCCCCAGGUGCAUGUCUUUGUAUUGGAUGUGCUUUGGUGUAAAUUUUUUGUGAGUCGAUCCGGAGCCGUUCCCAGAUUAAAAAUGAAACCACACCCCGCCCUCCCUAAAAGUAUCAUACAUUAUCUUUUGUUUGAACACAUAUUUUUUAUAAUGAUAAUAAUAAUUGUAAGCUUCUUACUCAAAGUUCCCACAGAUGCACGCUGGACGCCAGUGGUUCGGGUGUGACAGUAGUUUUAAUUUUUCAAUUUUGCUCAGGAUCACGCUUUUCUGCUUGACUUUUUCAGUCUCACCAACAGCAGCCCCCUUCUCCUCCGCUGGCCGUUUACUGUUAAAGACAACAGUUGAUUAGAUCAGCGCGUACCACCUGCGACAUCUAAUCAACUGCCAGCUGCGUCUCGCCGUGCUGCCCAUGCCACGCCCCCGUCUGAGGGUGCGCUGUCUCCAGCCACCCAGACGGGGUCGCUGAUCUUCCUACCUGCAGUGUGCUAAUCACAACCUCCCUCCACAUACCUCCACCGCCAGACUUAGGCCGGGCCCCGGCCGCACUUACUCCCCACGCCUGAGCGCGGGAGAGGAAGUCUGCCGACCAUCUGCGCUCCCGGCCUAUGGACCACUCUGAAAUUGUAGGGUUGUAAAGCGAGAUACCACCUGUUGAUCCGCGCGUUGGGAUCUUUCAUGCGGUGGAGCCACUGGAGGGGCUUGUGGUCCGAGCAGAGGCUGAAUGGGCGUCCCAGCAGAUAGUACCGCAGGGCACCGACAGCCCACCGGAUGGCGAGGCACUCCCUCCCCACCGUGCUGUAUCUGGUUUCCCUUUCCGAAAGUUUCCUGCUGAUGUACAGGACCGGAUGGUCGCUGCCCCCCCGCUGCUGGGAUAAAACGGCUCCCAGUCCUCUGCCCGACGCAUCUGCCUGCAAACAAAAUGGAAUGGAAAAAUCAGGCAUGUACAGUACCAGCUCCUCGCAAAGUACUUUCCUUACCUUCUCGAAUGCCUGCUGGCACCGCUCUGUCCACUGGACCAGAUCUGGGGCACCUUUCCGGGUGAGGUCAGUUAGUGGACUGGUCAGGUCUGCAAACCGGGGGAGAAACCUCCGGUAGUAGCCCACCAGCCCCAAAAACUGCCUCACCUCCUUUUUCGUCUUCGGGGUCGGGCAGGCCGCAACUGCUGCGGUUUUAUCUACCUGGGGCCGCACCUGGCCUUCCCCCAAGUGGUACCCCAGUUACUGUACCUCCCGCCGGCCAACCGCGCACUUCGACGGGUUGGCGGUGAGCCCCGCCCGCCUGAGGGACUCGAGUACCGCUCCCACUCUCUGCAUAUGCUCCGCCCAGCUGUUCCCCUGGAUGAUGACAUCAUCCAGAUAGGCGGCAGCAUAUGCAGUGUGCGGUUGCAGCACCCGGUCCAUGAGUCUCUGAAAUGUGGCGGGCGCACCCAACAAGCCGAACGGAAGGGUCACGAAUUGGUAUAACCCUUCCAGAGUGGAGAAUGACGUUUUUUCCUUGGACUCUGGAGACAAGGGAAUCUGCCAGUAGCCCUUAGUCAAAUCCAGUGUCGUAAAAAAACGAGCAGUGCCCAACCGGUCCAGGAGCUCGUCGACCCGAGACAUUGGAUAGGUGUCAAAACGUGACACAUCAUUCACCUUGCGGUAGUCUACACAGAACCGUACAGACCCAUCUUUCUUCCCUACCAGAACUAUGGGGCUACACCAUGCACUGUGGGACUCUUCUAUCACUCCCAAUUCCAACAUGGCUUUUAAUUCUUCCCGAACUACUUUGCGUUUGUGUUCGGGCAGCCUAUAGGGCCAAGACCUCACAGUCACGCCCGUGCUGGUCUCUAUGUGAUGCUGGGUGAGAGUCGUGCGGCCUGGCAGGGGAGAGAAAACGUGAGCAAAAUGUUGCUGCAAUUUGGCCACGUCUGCUUUCUGUGACAGCGUAAGAUGAUUAUCACAGCGGAGAGGGAAACCUCCAGCCCCAGCUCCUCGCUCUCCGCUAUCGCCGUCACCAUGGAGACGGGCUCCGCUUCCCUCCAACCUUUUAGUAGGUUGAGGUGGUAUAUUUGUGUUGCCCCGCCCCGGUCAGACCGCCUGACCUCAUAAUCCACCUCACCUACUCGUCGUGUGACCACGAAGGGUCCUUGCCACUUGGCGAGUAAUUUGGAACUGGAUGUUGGGAGUAACACAAGUACUUUCUCUCCCGGUGAAAAUUGUCUAAGUUGCGCUCCCCUGUUAUACAGGCGCUGUUGACGUUUUUGAGCUUGGAGCAAAUUCUCACGUGACAAGUGCCCUAAUGUGUGGAGUUUUGCUCUCAAGUCCAUGACAUACUGAAUUUCAUUUUUACUGGGGCUUGGACCUUCCUCCCAGCUUUCUUUAACCAGGUCUAGUACCCCCCUCGGCUUCCUGCCGAACAAUAACUCAAAUGGAGAAAAUCUUGUUGAGGCCUGGGGAACCUCCCGCACUGCAAAUAACAGGGGAUCCAACCAUUUAUGCCAAUUUGGUUUGUCCUCGUGUACGAACUUCCGGAUCAUGGAUUUCAAAGUUCUAUUCAUCCGCUCCACCAACUCAUCUGUCUGUGGGUGGUAAACGCUAGUCCAAAUAGACUUGAUCCCCAAUAAACCGUACAGUUCCUUUAACGUGCGUGACAUAAAGGACGUGCCUUGGUCAGUUAGAAUCUCUUUCGGGAUUCCAACUCGGGAGAUAAUUUGAAAUAGUGCCUGUGCUACACUCUUUGCAGAGAUGGAGCGCAGUGGCACUGCUUCGGGAUAGCGCGUUGCAUAAUGCACCAGGACUAGUGCAAAGCGAUAUCCCUGGAAGCUCGGGUGAAAUGGCCCGACAAGGUCCAUGCCAAUUCGCUCAAAUGGGACCUCUAUGAGUGGUAAUGGCCUCAAAGGUGCUCUAGGGGUGGCCGUGGGGUUGACUAGUUGACAUUCCGGGCAUGCCGCGCACCACCGGCGCACGUCUGCCCGAAUGCCUGGCCAAUAGAAAUUAUCCAAUUAAGUGUUUUAUCAUAGCCCAUGUGUCCAGCCAUUGGGUUAAAAUGAGCCGCCUGGAAAAUCAUUUCCCGACGGCUUUUUGGUACCAACAAUUGGGUAAUUUCCUCCCCUGUCUGAGUGUCACGGCUCACUCUGUAUAGUCUGUCCCUAAUCAAUACAAAAUGAGGGAAGUCCCGCGUUAUUCCCAGGCGAACCCGCUGCCCAUCAAUUGCAAUCACUUUGUCCCAGGUCUCGCGCAAAGUGUCAUCUCGAGACUGCUCGAGUGGAAAAUCAUCCGUGGGGCGCCAUCGGGGCACCGGGGAAACCUCCUGGGAAGUCCCCGCCGGCCCCCCUUCUCCCUCCCCCUCCCCCUCGGCAGCAUCGAAUAAACUCGCGUCGCCGAUGAGAACAGCACGGGUAUCCCCUUUCCCUACCGUCCGUGAACGCACACCUGCACAUUGCUUCAUUAACCCCUUAAAUCCCGACCAAUUUGUUCCCAAGAUUAAGGGGUGCGCAAGGCGCGAACUUACAGCAGCCUUAACAUUAUGUUUUUCACCCCUGAAAAAAAUUUCCACCGGCACAACGGGAUACGUGUGAAUAUCCCCAUGCACACAUUUAACCCGCACCCGUGUAACCUUACUCAAUACCCCGGGUCGAACCAGGUUUUGGUGAAUCAUGGAUUGUUCACAGCCCGAAUCCACCAUCGCCCGGUGUAUACUCCCUUGUAUCCUUACCGGUACAUAGUAUGUCUCUCCCGGACCAGGGGAGGAUGCCGGAGGGUCGUCCACCCGGAUCACCUUCCCCACUUCCAUCGCUGGACACUCCCGUUGCAGGUGACCCAGUCGUCGGCACCUCCAACACACCUGCCCCGGCAUUCGAGCCGCUGUUUGCGGGGGAGACGCAGUGUCUGCAGCGGUCUGUCCCUGCGGAGGAGAAAGCAAAUUUAUGUUUCGUGGCCUGUUCCCUCUGGUGGUGGCCGCAUUCUGCGCGGCGCCGGUACUGGCCGCUCCGCUCCUCCUGCAACCUUCUCCCGCUGUACCGCCAGGUGGUCCUCCGCCAAGGCUACCGCCGCUGCUACCUCUUGUGGCCGGUGGUAGCGGACCCAUGCCGAUGUCCGCGCCGGGAUUGCCUCCAGGAAUUGCUCCAAUAUUAUUUGUUCGAUCACCUCUUCGGUGCUUCCGGGUUGUAGCCAUCUGGUUGCCGCAUCUCUUAAUUGUUGCCCCUGGACGAAAGGCCGCUCAUCUUGUCCUAGUUUCCUGCUUCGAAACUUCCGUCUAUGGUCUUCUUUGGUUCCUCUUGUCCGGUCCAACACCGCCCUCCUCAUGUCCCUGUAGCUCACCCGGGACGCUGGUGGCAGGCUGAGCGCCGCUCGCUGCGCCUCUCCCGCCAGCAACGGCAGCAGCCGCACCGCCCACUCUUCUUCCGGCCAUCCGCAUGACUUGGCUGUGGCCUCGAACAUGUCCAGGAAACUAUGUGGAUCUUCGGUUUCCGCCAUCCUGUGCAUCCCCACUGCUGUCAAAGCCGGCCUCGCUGUUGUGUGUGUCCCCGCUCCGGUCCUGUCCGUCAGCGCCUGCAGAAUCUGACUCUGCUGCGCAACUUGGCUUUGCAUCGCGUCCAUCUGCGGUAGACACUUCUGCCAGCAACUGUCCCAGCGCCUCUAUGGGGCUUGGUGACGACAUCGCAGCUUUUGUUUUUGUUGGGCGCCAAUUGUAAGCUUCUUACUCACAGUUCCCACAGAUGCACGCUGGACGCCAGUGGUUCGGGUGUGACAGUAGUUUUAAUUUUUCAAUUUUGCUCAGGAUCACGCUUUUCUGCUUGACUUUUUCAGUCUCACCAACAGCAGCCCCCUUCUCCUCCGCUGGCCGUUUACUGUUAAAGACAACAGUUAAUUAGAACAGCGCGUACCACCUGCGACAUCUAAUCAACUGCCAGCUGCGUCUCGCCGUCCUGCCCAUGCCACGCCCCCGUCUGAGGGUGCGCUGUCUCCAGCCACCCAGACGGGGUCGCUGAUCUUCCUACCUGCGGUGUGCUAAUCACAACCUCCCUCCACAUAAUAAUAUACCAUUUUUCACAUACGUGGUCAGAAAUAAACUUCAAUAUGUAGCUGAGAUAGGCACCAGCACCCCCCGCGACCCCAAAGGUAAUAAGCGGUAGAAACUUGGAUGGAUGUAGAUUCACCUAGUCACAUUAGGUACACCUGCAAAAAAACUAGUUCACCCUCUGUGUUAUGAUGUGCAUGCCAAGAUUAGAUGAAAGUAGUACUUUAUUUUACCUUUUCUUCAAAUACACCUGACUUCAUACAGUGCACUUCCCCCUCUGGCUGACAGCUUGACUUAAUGUCCAAAUAAGUACGUCCACCUCGCUGUGCCGUCACAACGUAUCCAGAUUGCAAUUACACGCAAAAAGAGGUAUCCAAAACUGUGUAAGCUCACGGAAAAAUGCAUGAACCUUAUGACUUGACACCUUGGCAUUGUUUAGAAUAGAAUAGAAAGUACUUUAUUGAUCCCUGGGAGAAAUUCAGCUUUAAAGGCCUACUGAAAUGAGAUUUUCUUAUUUAAACGGGGAUAGCAAGUCCAUUCUAUGUGUCAUACUUGAUCAUUUUGCGAUUUUGCCAUAUUAUUGCUGAAAGGAUUUAGUAGAGAACAUCGACGAUAAAGUUUGCAACUUUUGGUGCUGACAAAAAAACCUCGCCUUUACCGGAAGUAGCAGACGAUGACAUCACCGGUGAGAGGGCUCCUCACAUCCUCACAGUGUUUAUAAUGGGAGUCCACAGCGGCAAGAGCUAUUCAGAACGAGAAAACAACAAUUUCCCCAUUAAUUUGAGCAAGGAUGAAAGAUUUGUGGAUGAUGAUAUUGAUAGCGAAGGACUAGAAAAAUAAUAAUAAAAUAAAAAGCAACGGUGGCGGAAGCAGUAUGAGCGUUUCAGACGUAAUUAGACACAGUUACUAGGAUAAUUCUGGAAGGUCCCUGAUCUGCUUAUUGUUUUGAUAGUGUUUUAGUGAGAUUGUAAAGACAUACCUCGAGGUCGGAUGGCUGCGGUGAACACGCAGUAUCUCAGAUAGAAGCCGAGGAGCCAAGCUCACAGCUGCCUUUUAAACAGCAACUGCAGAAGGACUAUUAAUCCAAUAAUGUUUCCAGUAAGAUAUAUAUCACAAUUUUCCCAUCCAAAAACAUGCUGGUUGACGUAGAGAAACAUGUUCGCUUGACCGCUCUGUGUUAAAAACAAAGAAACACCGUCUGUCUCGGUGCCAAAGACAGCUGCAAUACACCGCUUUCCACCAACAGCAUUGUUCUUUAUAGUCUCCAUUAUUAAUUGAACAAAUAGCAAAAGAUUCAGCAACACAGAUGUCCAGAAUACUGUUUAAUUGGGCGAUGAAAAGAGACGACUUUUAGCCGCAAAUGGUGGUGCGCUAAUAUUUCCUGACAGUCCGUGACGUCACGCGCACGCGUCAUCAUUCCGCGACGUUUACAACAAGAAACUUCGCGGGAAAUUUAAAAUUGCAAUUUAGUCAACUAAACCGGCCGUAUUGGCAUGUGUUGCAAUGUUAAUAUUUCAUCUUUGAUAUACAAACUAUCAGACUGCGUGCGUGGUCGGUAGUCCUGGGUUUCAGUAGGCCUUUAACACGUGUUUCUAACAUUGUAACAUUAUUUAUAAGUCAGAAAAGAUCAACUUCAUCAUAGAUCCUUUAAAUCUGUUCUUUUAAACUAUAAUUAGUAACACAUGCAGGCCGACGUUGUUUUUUUUUUUUUUGUUGCAAAUAGUCAUCUUAAGUAGUGGCAUACUGCAGCUUUAAUUGUAUUUAAAAGUUUGACUGAUAUAGUUAGACUGCUUCUUGUAUGUAACAUGUUGCCAUCUUUAAUAUGAAUAGGAAAUAAGUCAGGAAUAUGUAAAAAAAAAAGGUAACAAAUGUAAAAUGACAAACACUGAAGAGUGAAUUAAGAUAUACAAAAUAUGUAGUAAAAGGUGCUACAUUUAAAAUUAAUGGACUAACAAUAAAUUAUUUUAGACACGGUUGUCAGUAUUUGUCUUCGUCGAUGUACUUUUUAACAACUUUGCUUUUACCGUUUCUCAAACUUGUAUUAACACAGUCUGCUUUUGUGUCCUAGUUUUAGUCCACAUCUUACAUAGACAUCAUCAACCUUUGCCACUCAACCAACAAACAUCAUUAGUUACCGGGGAUAAAUAUUCACUAAAUAAAAACAACAAGCAUGUUUUUAGCAGUGGCACAUUCCUCAAUAUAUGCUGCGCAUUUAAAUACACACUCUUACUCUUUAUACAACAUGUAUUGCUCAAUUCAUGAUAAAAACGUGUUAAAUUAUUUGACAGAAAUUAUACAAAGUCAGCAAAAUAAUGAUCUAAAGUCAAAUUACAAACAAAGUGAAGACGGUGGCUGAGAGGAGCUUCGAUACUCUGAGAUGUCACAUGAAAAAAGCCAGUGCUGACGUUUUUGUAAUAAAUGUCUUCAUUCUUCAGCUGGGCUGAGAGGAUGUGUGCGUGCGUUUGUGUGUGUGCGUGUGUGUGUAACACAGCACAGCACAGGACCAAAGACUCGAAGGAAGAAGAGAAGGAAGGAAGCAGUGACAUAUUGUAAACUAACUCACCCUCACAUCCAUCAAAUGAUGGACCACUGAGUCGCAGGAAGUGUAAACAUCCUACACUCUCGGCAUCUUCCCCCUGGUGGCCGGGAGUGGGAAUGUUUGCUCUGCCUUGCUCGGGAAUUCAACUUGGGAGCAAAAGUCACGUUGAAUACACUGACUCUCAUCUGGUACUUAAUUUCUUUAAAAAGCAACUUGCUUUAAUUGUUGUUGAAUAGUGGAAAAUGAAUGAAUAAAUGUAUUUCUAUGAGGUUUUUGCUUUUGUUGGAAAUGAUGGUUAUUGAAUAAAUGACUAAAUGAG